CCUGAGGGCAGGCCUCAUUUAGAACAGAAUGUUCUGGAAUGUAUCAAAAAUGGUUCUCUCUCCCUGCCGGGCCUGAAUCACAAGGGAAUUUUUAUUCAGUAAUUACUGUGAGCAUCCCGUAGAACUCUGCACUGAGACAAUAAAAGUGUGGGGGCUUCCUGGGGAUCGGUUGCCUUGCAGUUUUUACCUCACACGCUCGUCCAUGCUGAGCUUUCAGCAACUCACCGAUUGCAGUUUCAGUUUCCUCCCCCGACACUGGCUCCUGUGAAGGUUUCUCCUGUGGUUUGGGAGUACUGAGUGACAUCACUGAAUCCAAAUGAAAACCCUCCCAGUGGGCAUAACCAGGAUUUUCAGGCAGUCUCUUAAGAGAAGGUAUCUUCCUGGAGGUUGGCUUGGAGAAUAUGAUAUAUUUCAAAAAUGAUAGCAAUAAAGUAGAGCAGAUGGUAGAGAAUAAACUUAUUUUGAGAUGAAAACUGAAGAUUAUGCAGCAGUCUCGGAAAAGGAGGAUACAGCUUUCAAGCAACAAUGAGGAUAUUUACUACAAUGACAUCUCUUCAAGAUAGAUUUCCAAACCCUUCAAGACCUGAGAAGAUGGGACUGAUUAUUUCCCACAUGUUUGUCAAGGUCAUUGAGGGAAAAAAUAGUAUAAGAAGUUAAUAUUGCAGGAAAGACUUCACAUCAAAAAUGAAAUAAUAUUUGAGACUGAAAAAGAUAUAUUAUCCCCAUAGGUCUGCCAAACUCAGUGUCUACACAAAUUAUUAUCUCUCUUUUAAGUGGCAGUAAGUUAUAGUUAUGUAAGUUACAGUUCUCUAAGGGCAGCUUUAACUGCUUUCUGUUACUUAGAAAUUUCCUCUGUUUUACUUCUCUCAGUCAAAAGGAGUUCCAUUUUUACAAUGCCAUUUCCUUUUAUGUCAGAAUUGUGUGUCAUGAUAUAGAGUUUCCAACUGAAUAUACCUAUUCUCUUUCUUGCUACAAAAUAUACAUACCAAAUGAAUAUCUUAAGUAUAACUUGCUAAAAUAAAGGAUAUCACAUUUCAGUUGCUUGUGGAUACUGAUAGUCUUUGUACUAAAAUCUUAGUAUGUAUCCUCACUUUAAGAAUUGUCAGUUUGCUGAAUACAAGAAAAGUUCACUUACUCAUGGAGGAGAUAAUGUUGACAACUAAUAACUCAUAGAUUAACACUGCAGUGAGCUUUUAUUCCUAGAAUAAAAGAUAAAUAUAUUAUGACUUCCCUACUCUUAUUUAUAAUUUCAUUAUCAGCUAUGUGGAAACUGUCUAAACAUUGUUUUAUAUAUAAAUUCAGCCCAUUAAAUAUGGUAAAAUUAUUGAUAUUGUUGAAAUUAUACUAUCAACUGAACUCAAUUUCUCUGUUCUUUCUUUAUAGUUGUGCUUAGAAGUAACUUUCUAGAAUCCACAUUUCCACUAUGUAUUCUAAAAUUACUGAAGAACUAAAAAGUUAUAUACCUCAAUAUUU